rnacentral:rRNA from 1 species
AUGGCCGCCGCUUUCUCCUCCUCCUCCUCGUCGCCGUCCGCCGCGGCAUCCACCCACCACCCCUUCCCUUUCCCGGCCCCUCCAAACCCGCCCACAGCCCACCGCCUCCGCCUCCGCAUCCGCCUGGCCGCCUCCAGGUGGGUGAGCCGCGGCAGGGCCCCGCCGGAGCGCGGCGCCGGCGCGGCCAACUCCAUAUGGGUCAACCCGGCCGCCCCGUCCCGGCCCGGCCAGGCCGGCCAGAAGCUCCGCCGCCUGGUCCAGCUCGGGGACCUGGACGCCGCGCUCCGCCUCCUCGGCGCCUCCCCCGACCCGCCGGCCGUCGUCGCCUGCAACAUCCUCAUCAAGAAGCUCUGCGCGCAGCGCCGCCUCGCCGACGCGGAGCGCGUGCUCGACGCGCUCAAGGCGGCCGGCGCGGCGGACCCCGUCUCCCACAACACCCUCGUCGCCGGCUACUGCCGCGACGGCCGGCUGGCGGACGCCGAGCGCGCCCUCGCGGCGGCGGCCCUCUCCGGGGCCGCCAACGUCGUCACCUACACCACGCUCAUCAACGGCUACUGCCGCUCCGGCAGGCUCGCCGACGCGCUCGCCCUCAUCGCCUCCAUGCCCGUCGCGCCGGACACCUACACCUACAACACCGUGCUCAUGGGCCUGUGUGGCGCCCGGCAGUGGGAGGACGCCGAGGAGCUCAUGGCCGAGAUGGUCAGGAACCAUUGCCCUCCCAACGAGGUGACGUUCGCCACCCAGAUCCGCGCUUUCUGCCAGAACGGGCUGCUCGACCGCGCCGUUCAGCUGCUCGACCGAAUGCCUAGGUACGGAUGCACGCCCGAUGUUGUCAUUUACAGCACCCUGGUGAAUGGGUUCUCGAAGCAAGGGCGUGUCGACGACGCCAUCGAGCUGCUCAACGGCAUGCUCUGCAAGCCCAACACUGUUUGUUACAACGCCGCGCUGAAAGGUUUGUGCAUCGCUCAGCGUUGGGAGGAUGUCGGAGAGCUGAUUGUGGGGAUGGUUAAGAAAGACUGCCUGCCAAACGAAGCGACAUUCAGUAUGCUAACCAGUUGCUUGUGCCAGAAUGGGCUGGUUGAUUGUGCGGUGGAAGUCCUCGAGCAGAUGCACAAGUAUGGGUGCAGACCUGAUGUUGUCAUUUACAAUACGCUGAUAUAUUCCUUUUCAGAACAAGGGCGUGUGGAGGACGCGCUCAAGUUACUAAACAGCAUGCCGUGCAGUCCUGACGUCAUUAGCUUCAACGCCGCGUUGAAGGGUUUAUGCAGAGCUGAGCGAUGGGAUGAUGCCGAGGAGCUUAUAGGGCAGAUGCUUAGGGAGGACUGUCCCCUAAUUGAAAUGACUUUCAAUAUACUCAUUGAUUCGCUGUGCCAGAGUGGCCGGGUAAACUACGCAAUUGAAGUGUUUGAGCAAAUGCCAAACUUUGGAUGUACACCUGAUAUUGUCACAUACAGUAGCCUUAUUAAUGGCCUUUCUGAACAAGGGCUUGUCGAAUCAGCCAUUGAGUUGUUUCAAAGCAUGCCAUGCAAGCCUGAUAUCUUUGGCUACAAUGCUGUGCUGAAGGGUUUGUGCAAAGCUGCGCGAUGGGAGGAUGCUGGGGAGCUUAUAUCUAAGAUGGCUAGAAAGGAUUGCCCCCCAAAUGAAAUCACAUUCAAUAUACUAAUCAAUUCCCUGUGCCAGAAAGGGCUUGUUGAUCGUGCAAUUGAGGUUUUCGAGCAAAUGCCAAAGUAUGGAAGUACACCUGAUAUUUUCACAUACAAUGCCCUUAUCAAUGGCUUUUCUGAACAAGGCCGUCUGGAUGAUGCCCGCAAGAUAUUAAGCACCAUGUCAUGCAAGCCUGAUGCCGUGUCCUAUAAUUCUGCAUUGAAGGGUUUAUGUCGAGCUGAACGAUGGAAGGAAGCAGAGGAGGUUGUGGCUGAGAUGCUUAGAAAGAAGUGCCCUCCAAAUGAAGUAACAUUCAAGUAUGCUAAUCGAUUAUUUGUACCAAACAGGGUAACUUGA